rnacentral:rRNA from 1 species
AGUGAACGCUGGCGGUAGGCCUAACACAUGCAAGUCGAACGGCAGCACAGGAGAGCUUGCUCUCUGGGUGGCGAGUGGCGGACGGGUGAGGAAUACAUCGGAAUCUACUUUUUCGUGGGGGAUAACGUAGGGAAACUUACGCUAAUACCGCAUACGACCUACGGGUGAAAGCAGGGGAUCUUCGGACCUUGCGCGAUUGAAUGAGCCGAUGUCGGAUUAGCUAGUUGGCGGGGUAAAGGCCCACCAAGGCGACGAUCCGUAGCUGGUCUGAGAGGAUUAUCAGCCAAACUGGAACUGAGACACGGUCCAGACUCCUACGGGAGGCAGCAGUGGGGAAUAUUGGACAAUGGGCGCAAGCCUGAUCCAGCCAUACCGCGUGGGUGAAGAAGGCCUUCGGGUUGUAAAGCCCUUUUGUUGGGAAAGAAAUCCAGCUGGUUAAUACCCGGUUGGGAUGACGGUACCCAAAGAAUAAGCACCGGCUAACUUCGUGCCAGCAGCCGCCGUAA